AGCAGCAGCCGCGGGAAUACGGAGGGGGCUAGCGUUGUUCGGAAUUACUGGGCGUAAAGCGCACGUAGGCGGUUUUGUAAGUCAGGGGUGAAAGCCCGGAGCUCAACUCCGGAACUGCCUUUGAGACUGCAUCACUUGAACGUCGGAGAGGUGAGUGGAAUUCCGAGUGUAGAGGUGAAAUUCGUAGAUAUUCGGAAGAACACCAGUGGCGAAGGCGGCUCACUGGACGACUGUUGACGCUGAGGUGCGAAAGCGUGGGGAGCAAACAGGAUUAGAUACCCCCGUAGUCCCUGUCUCUUAUAC
rnacentral:rRNA from 1 species